rnacentral:rRNA from 1 species
GACAGAGGUCUCAAGCGUUAGGCGGAAUCACUGGGCUUAAAGCGCGUGUAGGCGGAGUGUUUAGUACCUUGUGAAAUCCCACGGCUCAACCGUGGAACUGCUGGGUAUACUGGCACUCUUGAGCAACCUAGGGGCGAGCGGAACAAACGGUGGAGCGGUGAAAUGCGUAGAUAUCGUUUGGAACGCCAAUGGUGAAAACAGCUCGCUGGGGGUUUGCUGACGCUGAGACGCGAAAGCCAGGGGAGCAAACGGG